AGUUUAGGAUGGCCUCGGAUUAUACU
rnacentral:piRNA from 1 species